CAACUUUCAACAACGGAUCUCUUGGUUCUGGCAUCGAUGAAGAACGCAGCGAAAUGCGAUACGUAGUGUGAAUUGCAGAAUUCAGUGAAUCAUCGAAUCUUUGAACGCACAUUGCGCCCUUUGGUAUUCCAAAGGGCAUGCCUGUUCGAGC
rnacentral:rRNA from 1 species